rnacentral:lncRNA from 1 species
AAUUCAACGGGGAUUCAGAUAGGAGAUUUUAUAUUUUCACUAUAUUAUUUUGAUAGUGAUUAUACUGAACAUCCCAUAAUUUAUCACAAACUAUAAUGGAAGAGCAAAAAUUUCAACGAAAAAUCAUUAGAGAAUAAAGUAGACUUAGCGAGGGCAGACCUCAAGUCUUAAAAGAGUGCUUACAAAGAUACUUACAAAUACACACUAAAGAUGUCAUCACAUUGGCAACACGAGUUGAAUCCACGAAUUCUUUGUGUGAGUAAACUCCUUAACAACUUAGUCAAUAUUUGUCGACAAUUUUAAUCAAAUUUAAAUUGUUUUAAACUUUAAAUUUAAAUUUUAUUUACUUACAGAAACAUUUUACAUUUAAAAUAUUUGUUUUACUACAUUAAAAAUAUUAAUUGUUCAUUGUUUUCAAAGAACAAAGGCAUCAAUAUUGCAUAAUCAAAGUGAAAUUCAUGAAAUUUGAAGAAAUCCAAAUUUCAUCCAUUAAAAUAUGUUGCAUUCGCAUCAAAUGCAUCGAAGCUAACUUCUUAACUUGUUCAACACCUUGCUUGGACUAAGUAUUCAAUUUGUUGAUAGAUUCUUAUUCCAAUCCUGGUAAUCAACAAAAUAAAAAUUCUUAACUUUAUUCAAAUUUUAGUUAAAGUCUCAGCUUUCAGAUUUUAAGUAUUGUUACCAUUUUUUAAGGAUUUUUGUUUAUAAAUAAAAGGAUUUUCCAUUAUGUUGCAUUUUUUAUUUUCAAUUUGAUUCAAUAUUAUUAUUAUUUUUAAGGUGUUGCAAAUGUUUGUUGGUUAAGUGGAGUGCUAACAUAGAAGAGAAGUUAGUUGGUUAUUAAAAAAAUUGAUUGCACAUUCUAUUUUUAUUUUGAAAAGAUAAACCAUUUCCAAAAUAUUAAAAAAAUAUCAUAUUAUUAUUAUUUUUACUAUUAUUAUUAUUAUUAUUAUUAUUAUUAUUAUUAUUAUUAUUAUUAUUAUUAUUUUCAAAAGGUUUCAAUAUUAUGAUAAUUAUUAUUAUUUUAUUUUAUUUUUGGCACAAAAAUACCAUAUUACUUUGUAUAUCAUAAUACUUAUUUUAUUAAAACUUAAAUUAAAUAUUCACAAAUGCAUCAACGAGAAACUUUUUUUUCCACAAAUAUAUUGGUCACAUAAAAUCAAUGUAUUUUGUAUAUAUUAAUCAUAGAAUUUAUGUGAACAGAAUGUUGAUGAAUCACACAAUAUAAUUUUAUAAUCUUUUCUUAGGAUCAAAUGUUUAUAUAUUAAACAACCUAACGUUCAUUUUAUGGAUACCUAUGUUGUCAUGGCUGAUUGUGCAAUAAUAUUAUAUAUAUAUAUAUAAUAUAUAUAUAUAUAUAUAUAUAUAUAUAUAUAUAUAUAUAUAUAUAUAUAUAUAUAUAUAUAUAUAUAUAUAUAUAUAUAUAUAUAUAUAAUAUAUAUAUAUAUAUAUUAGGAGAAUAUAAUUUAAUUAAAGAAAAAUUAGAUUAGCAAUUUGUUUACGUUACCACUUCAGAAAGUGUGCUGAAUGAAAAAAAUACAAUACAUUAAACUAAACAGAAGCUUUAAGACAAAAUAAAUUUAUAGAACAUUUUCUGAAACUCCUUAAAAGUCAAAAAAACAUAAAUAUUUUUACCACAACAUAUGCUUUAUACAUUAUAAAUAAGUCAAAAAAUAUUUUACUUUUACAUGCAACAAAAGAAAAAAUGGCUAAAACCCUCAAGAUUGUGAACAAUAUGAUUUUAUUUCUUUUCCUAUUUCUUAUCAUAAAGAAUGCUGAAGCAGGUAAUUUCCAAGGCAAGCCUUUAUCGGAGAAAGCUAAAGGUAAUUUACUUUUUUCAUCCUUUUCUAAAUUUCCUUCUAUAGUUUGUAAUUCAAAUACAAUAUUUUAUCUCAUUUUAAUAAUAUUAUUUUAUUAUGUUUUUUCAUUGUAACAGCAAAGUUAAGGGAGUGUCUAAAUUCUAAUUGUCACCUAAAUCUGGUAGACGUGUACCAUUGUAUUAUGAGCAAAUGUGACUCAAAACAACCGAAUGAAGAUGAAUAAGUAUUAAAAUAAAGGAAUAUCAGAAUCAAAAGAGUACUCUAAUAUAUGUAAUGGAACCAAAUAAUUGUAUCUUUUAUUUAUUUUUAUAUUUGUUAGUUUACAUAUUUUGCAAUUCCGAGUUUGUACUCUAAGAUUUUGGUAUUAAAAUGAAAUAUAGAAAAAAAAUAUUAUUAUUAGAUUGUGUUCUUCUCUCUUAAUUAUAUAACAUUUUCUUUCCAACAAAUUUUUAGAAUGUUAUAGGUUUUGAUAUACAAAUUAAAGCUUUGAAUUAUAUUACAUAUUUCUGAAUUA